ACAAAAAUUUCUUUACUUAAUCCGAACGAUAAUAGAAAACCAGGAAACGAAAGCAGUGAGCGGCAGCUUCUCUUCCUCUGUAUCUCAAAAUGGUUCCUUUUAGGUUUCAUCAGUACCAAGUGGUGGGCAGAGGUCUCCCAACAGAAACAGAUGAGCAUCCCAAGAUUUACCGUAUGAAGCUUUGGGCCACCAACGAAGUUUAUGGGCGAUUGGGAAUCUUAGUUUUCCUUUGCUUGAUGUUUUUUUUUUCGUGUUUAGGUAUUUUCUGAGGAAGGUGAAGAAAAGUAAUGGACAAGUUUUGGCCA